rnacentral:rRNA from 1 species
GGAUCCAGAUCUGAGUUUGAUCCUGGCUCAGGAUGAACGCUGGCGGCGUGCCUAAUACAUGCAAGUCGAGCGAGGUUCUUCGGAACCUAGCGGCGGACGGGUGAGUAACACGUGGGUAACCUGCCUGUAAGACCGGGAUAACUUCGGGAAACCGAAGCUAAUACCGGAUACUUUCGAGCAUCGCAUGAUGCUUGAUGGAAAGACGGCUUCGGCUGUCACUUACAGAUGGACCCGCGUCGCAUUAGCUAGUUGGUGAGGUAACGGCUCACCAAGGCGACGAUGCGUAGCCGACCUGAGAGGGUGAUCGGCCACACUGGGACUGAGACACGGCCCAGACUCCUACGGGAGGCAGCAGUAGGGAAUCUUCGGCAAUGGGCGAAAGCCUGACCGAGCAACGCCGCGUGAGCGAUGAAGGCCUUCGGGUCGUAAAGCUCUGUUGUUAAGGAAGAACAAGUACGAGAGUAACUGCUCGUACCUUGACGGUACUUAACGAGAAAGCCACGGCUAACUACGUGCCAGCAGCCGCGGUAAUACGUAGGUGGCGAGCGUUAUCCGGAAUUAUUGGGCGUAAAGCGCGCGCAGGCGGUUUCUUAAGUCUGAUGUGAAAGCCCACGGCUCAACCGUGGAGGGUCAUUGGAAACUGGGAAACUUGAGUGCAGAAGAGGAAAGCGGAAUUCCACGUGUAGCGGUGAAAUGCGUAGAGAUGUGGAGGAACACCAGUGGCGAAGGCGGCUUUCUGGUCUGAACUACGCUAGCCAAAGCGAC